rnacentral:rRNA from 1 species
CAGUAGCCGCGGUAAUACGUAGGUGGCAAGCGUUGUCCGGAAUUAUUGGGCGUAAAGGGCUCGCAGGCGGUUUCUUAAGUCUGAUGUGAAAGCCCCCGGCUCAACCGGGGAGGGUCAUUGGAAACUGGGAAACUUGAGUGCAGAAGAGGAGAGUGGAAUUCCACGUGUAGCGGUGAAAUGCGUAGAGAUGUGGAGGAACACCAGUGGCGAAGGCGACUCUCUGGUCUGUAACUGACGCUGAGGAGCGAAAGCGUGGGGAGCGAACAGGAUUAGAUACCCCCGUAGUCCCUGUCUCUUAUCC